GAUGAACGCUGGCGGCGUGCCUAAUACAUGCAAGUCGAGCGAACGGACGAGAAGCUUGCUUCUCUGAUGUUAGCGGCGGACGGGUGAGUAACACGUGGAUAACCUACCUAUAAGACUGGGAUAACUUCGGGAAACCGGAGCUAAUACCGGAUAAUAUUUUGAACCGCGUGGUUCAAAAGUGAAAGACGGUCUUGCUGUCACUUAUAGAUGGAUCCGCGCUGCAUUAGAUAGUUGGUAAGGUAACGGCUUACCAAGGCAACGAUGCAUAGCCGACCUGAGAGGGUGAUCGGCCACACUGGAACUGAGACACGGUCCAGACUCCUACGGGAGGCAGCAGUAGGGAAUCUUCCGCAAUGGGCGAAAGCCUGACGGAGCAACGCCGCGUGAGUGAUGAAGGUCUUCGGAUCGUAAAACUCUGUUAUUAGGGAAGAACAUAUGUGUAAGUAACUGUGCACAUCUUGACGGUACCUAAUCAGAAAGCCACGGCUAACUACGUG
rnacentral:rRNA from 1 species